GGUUAAGCGACUAAGCGUACACGGUGGAUGCCCUGGCAGUCAGAGGCGAUGAAGGACGUGCUAAUCUGCGAUAAGCGUCGGUAAGGUGAUAUGAACCGUUAUAACCGGCGAUUUCCGAAUGGGGAAACCCAGUGUGUUUCGACACACUAUCAUUAACUGAAUCCAUAGGUUAAUGAGGCGAACCGGGGGAACUGAAACAUCUAAGUACCCCGAGGAAAAGAAAUCAACCGAGAUUCCCCCAGUAGCGGCGAGCGAACGGGGAGGAGCCCAGAGCCUGAAUCAGUGUGUGAUGGAAAGCGUCAUGGAAGAUGCGCGAUACAAGGAGUGACAGCCUGUGAAUUGUAGUAUGGCUGGUGAUCUCAAUUUGAAGGUAGGGCGGACCACAUAUUAUCUGUCUUGGAUGGCCGGAAGGACUAAAUUAAUAAGUUUCUGAUUACUCCACAGCUGAUGAGCUCAAUGAAUAAGUUGCUUAUGUAAGAAAAGUGAAAGGAGACAUAGCUUGGGAAGUGAGCUUCUAAAACCAAGUAUUGUAUUAUUAUAAACAGUAGAGCUAUCUUUAAGUGUUAUUAUAAUGAGUCUUAACUUAUGUUCAGAGUUGUGAUAUGGGAGUAGAAUGGAACUAAACUAGGGUUCUAGUUACAGGUGGCAGACCAGAAGACUUACGGGAUCUAUAUAAUGAGAACCAAAGUUGCGAUAGCUUAUUCAGACCAGAUACGUUUAAUGUUGAAAUUAGUGGAUGACUUGACCAGUAAAAGCCCUAAAUCACCAGAGGUAUUUGGUUCUUUAGCUUUCUUUAUUGCUUAUCAUAGAUAAAUAUAAAGAAGGUAGCCUUAUUCGCUGAGAGAGUCAUCAGCUGACUAGUACAGGCUUAGAUGCAGAUAUUAUAUGGGAGACGUAGUGCAGUCUGGGUGGUAGGGAACUGGCCGGACCAGCUGACUGGGUCACAGGGGUGGUUGGGAGUGGGAGCAUGAUGAAUGAACUGGCGGGAUGUUUAGGCUUAAACAUGUCUUUAAAGUGUAAUCUGGUCUAGGAAAUCAUUAUAGGAGAGAUCUUAUAUAAGAAGCCUAAACCUUAUAUUAUUUUCUUAAUAACCACUGUGAAUUGUUAGGUGAGUUCGCGUAUGUAGUGUUAUGGGGUGUAACUGGGAAGUAUCACAGUGUGAACUACAGCAGCUAAUGACAUGAGAAAUGGGUGACUGCAUGGGAGAGAUGAAGGAAGGUUGCAUCAGUUAAAUGGGGUAGGUGGGAUUAAUUUUCAGUGAGAUGAGAGGCGAUGAUCAAUUGGGAGCAGGUUGUGUUCGCAACUCUUGGUGGAAGGAAGGAGGACCGGAGAACUAUGUUAGCCGGGCGGCGGUGUCAGUUUAAGCGUGUAGGCUGGUUUUCCAGGCAAAUCCGGAAAAUCAAGGCUGAGGCGUGAUGACGAGGCACUACGGUGCUGAAGCAACAAAUGCCCUGCUUCCGGUGAAAAGCCUCUAAGCAUCAGGUAACAUCAAAUCGUACCCCAAACCGACACAGGUGGUCAGGUAGAGAAUACCAAGGCGCUUGAGAGAACUCGGGUGAAGGAACUAGGCAAAAUGGUGCCGUAACUUCGGGAGAAGGCACGCUGAUAUGUAGGUGAAGUCCCUCGCGGAUGGAGCUGAAAUCAGUCGAAGAUACCAGCUGGCUGCAACUGUUUAUUAAAAACACAGCACUGUGCAAACACGAAAGUGGACGUAUACGGUGUGACGCCUGCCCGGUGCCGGAAGGUUAAUUGAUGGGGUCAGCGCAAGCGAAGCUCUUGAUCGAAGCCCCGGUAAACGGCGGCCGUAACUAUAACGGUCCUAAGGUAGCGAAAUUCCUUGUCGGGUAAGUUCCGACCUGCACGAAUGGCGUAAUGAUGGCCGAGCUGUCUCCACCCGAGACUCAGUGAAAUUGAACUCGCUGUGAAGAUGCAGUGUACCCGCGGCAAGACGGAAAGACCCCGUGAACCUUUACUAUAGCUUGACACUGAACAUUGAGCCUUGAUGUGUAGGAUAGGUGGGAGGCUUUGAAGUGUGGACGCCAGUCUGCAUGGAGCCGACCUUGAAAUACCACCCUUUAAUGUUUGAUGUUCUAACGUGGACCCGUGAUCCGGGUUGCGGACAGUGUCUGGUGGGUAGUUUGACUGGGGCGGUCUCCUCCUAAAGAGUAACGGAGGAGCACGAAGGUUGGCUAAUCCUCGGUCGGACAUCAGGAGGUUAGUGCAAUGGCAUAAGCCAGCUUGACUGCGAGCGUGACGGCGCGAGCAGGUGCGAAAGCAGGUCAUAGUGAUCCGGUGGUUCUGAAUGGAAGGGCCAUCGCUCAACGGAUAAAAGGUACUCCGGGGAUAACAGGCUGAUACCGCCCAAGAGUUCAUAUCGACGGCGGUGUUUGGCACCUCGAUGUCGGCUCAUCACAUCCUGGGGCUGAAGUAGGUCCCAAGGGUAUGGCUGUUCGCCAUUUAAAGUGGUACGCGAGCUGGGUUUAGAACGUCGUGAGACAGUUCGGUCCCUAUCUGCCGUGGGCGCUGGAGAACUGAGGGGGGCUGCUCCUAGUACGAGAGGACCGGAGUGGACGCAUCACUGGUGUUCGGGUUGUCAUGCCAAUGGCACUGCCCGGUAGCUAAAUGCGGAAGAGAUAAGUGCUGAAAGCAUCUAAGCACGAAACUUGCCCCGAGAUGAGUUCUCCCUGACCCUUUAAGGGUCCUGAAGGAACGUUGAAGACGACGACGUUGAUAGGCCGGGUGUGUAAGCGCAGCGAUGCGUUGAGCUAACCGGUACUAAUGAACCGUGAGGCUUAACCUU
rnacentral:rRNA from 1 species